rnacentral:rRNA from 1 species
GGGUCAUUNAGAGGAAGUAAAAGUCGUAACAAGGUUUCCGUAGGUGAACCUGCGGAAGGAUCAUUAUCAUACAAUGGAGGUGCAAGGGUUGUUGCUGACCUUUUAAAGGUCGUGCACGCCCGAGUGCUCUCUUACACAUCCAUUUCACCCCUAUGUGCAUCCACUGCGUGGGGAUCCAAAUCCCUUGAAAGGGGGAGAAGGACACCCACGUUUUUCUUUUUUUCACACAAACCUCAAAGUAGUAUAGAAUGUACUUUUCUUUAUUUGCGGUGAUACGCAAUCAAUACAACUUUCAACAACGGAUCUCUUGGCUCUCGCAUCGAUGAAGAACGCAGCGAAAUGCGAUACGUAAUGUGAAUUGCAGAAUUCAGUGAAUCAUCGAAUUUUUGAACGCACCUUGCGCCCCUUGGUAUUCCGAGGGGCACACCCGUUUGAGUGUCGUGAAAUUCUCAAAAAGCCCUUUCUUGAUCUUCAAGAAAAAGGAUUUUUGGACUUGGAGGAUCUAAUGCUCACUGUCAGUUAUUGAAAGGGAGCUCCUCUUAAAUAAAUUAGUGGGGGGUUUGCUUUGCUGAUCCUUGACGUGAUAAAAGCAAUUCUACGUUUUGGAUUAUAGCAUUGCACUUUUUAAACACCUGCUUCUAAUUGUCUUAUAGACAAUAAUGGUGUUCUGGUCACUAGAAAGGCUAGACCCAGAAAAGAAAACCUUGACCUCAAAUCGG